UACAGAGGGGGCAAGCGUUGUUCGGAAUUACUGGGCGUAAAGGGCGCGUAGGCGGCCUUCUAAGUCGAACGUGAAAUCCCUGGGCUCAACCCAGGAACUGCGUCCGAUACUGGAAGGCUUGAAUCCGGGAGAGGGAUGCGGAAUUCCAGGUGUAGCGGUGAAAUGCGUAGAUAUCUGGAGGAACACCGGUGGCGAAGGCGGCAUCCUGGACCAAUUCUGACACUGAGGAGCGAAAGCCAGGGGAGCAAACGGG
rnacentral:rRNA from 1 species